rnacentral:rRNA from 1 species
GAUGAACGCUGGCGGCGUGCUUAACACAUGCAAGUCGAGCGAAGCAGUUAAGUUGAUUUCUUCGGAUUGAUUCUUAAUUGACUGAGCGGCGGACGGGUGAGUAACGCGUGGGUGACCUGCCCCAUACCGGGGGAUAACAGCUGGAAACGGCUGCUAAUACCGCAUAAGCGCACAGAGCUGCAUGGCUCAGUGUGAAAAACUCCGGUGGUAUGGGAUGGGCCCGCGUCUGAUUAGGCAGUUGGCGGGGUAACGGCCCACCAAACCGACGAUCAGUAGCCGGCCUGAGAGGGCGACCGGCCACAUUGGGACUGAGACACGGCCCAAACUCCUACGGGAGGCAGCAGUGGGGAAUAUUGCACAAUGGGGGAAACCCUGAUGCAGCGACGCCGCGUGAGCGAAGAAGUAUUUCGGUAUGUAAAGCUCUAUCAGCAGGGAAGAUAAUGAC